CCCGGGGGUGCUUUACCACUCAGCUAUGUCCCUAGUCCUUUUACUUUUUAAUGAGACAGGGCUUCACUAAGUUGCUGAGGCUGAGCCUCGAACUUGAGAUCCUCCUGCCUCAGCCUCCAGCGUCUCUGGGAUUGCAGGCCUGUGCCCCCACACCCAGCCUCUUCACCUGUUUUUUGACAGCUGCUCUCCCCUUCCCAAGGCAUCCUUCUUGUGCCCACCCCCCUCCACGGAGUGUCACUAUCAGGCACGUCAUGAUGUCAUAGCUACUGUGACCCACCUUCUCCUCCCCAAGAAAAGGCAUUUCCUAAGAAGCCUGGGACCUCUCUGAGUCAACUCUGACUAAAAUCUUCAGACAUAGAGAGUGCUCGGUAGAUGUUGCCUGGGAUUCUGAAGGUGCACUGAACUAGACCUUGAGUCUUCAACUGAUGGCAAAUAAGAUUUAGAUCAGAACUCUUUCCCUUCCCUAUCUCAGCCUCCACGACCCAACUCCCAACACUCCAUGGAGGUCCCAGGGACCCCCGGCCCCAGUGUCCCCUGCUCUGCACCUUCCUGGACCUCCCACCAGCCACCUGCUUUCCUCGUGGGCCAGCAGCAGCUGUGAUCUGGAGGGCGCCCUCC
rnacentral:lncRNA from 1 species